UACAGAGGGUGCAAGCGUUAAUCGGAAUUACUGGGCGUAAAGCGCGCGUAGGUGGUUUGGUAAGUCGGUUGUGAAAUCCCCGGGCUUAACCUGGGAAUUGCAGUCGAUACUGCCUGACUCGAGUGUGGGAGAGGGAAGCGGAAGUUCCGGUGUAGCGGUGAAAUGCGUAGAUAUCGGAAGGAACACCAGUGGCGAAGGCGGCUUCCUGGCCCAACACUGACACUGAGGCGCGAAAGCGUGGGUAGCGAACAGG
rnacentral:rRNA from 1 species